CACGUAGGGUGCGAGCGUUGUCCGGAAUUAUUGGGCGUAAAGAGCUCGUAGGCGGUGUGUCGCGUCGGCUGUGAAAACCUGCAGCUUAACUGUGGGCGUGCGGUCGAUACGGGCAUCACUGGAGUUCGGCAGGGGAGACUGGAAUUCCUGGUGUAGCGGUGAAAUGCGCAGAUAUCAGGAGGAACACCGGUGGCGAAGGCGGGUCUCUGGGCCGAUACUGACGCUGAGGAGCGAAAGCGUGGGGAGCGAACAGG
rnacentral:rRNA from 1 species